rnacentral:miRNA from 1 species
CGGGGCGCUUCUUUGACUGAUG